rnacentral:rRNA from 1 species
AGUCUUUUUAGAGGAACCUGUCCUGUAAUUGAUAAUCCACGAGUUAAAUUACUUAUUUUUUUAGUUUGUAUAUCGCCGUAGGUAGAAUAUUUUUAAAGAAUUAGGAAUAUUCAAAAUUUUUAUAUGAAAGUAAAUCAGGUAAAGAUGUAGCUUAUAAAUAAGAAGAGAUGGGUUACAAUAAAUUUAUUUAUAUGGAUAAUUAUAUGUAAUUAUAAUUUGAAAGUGGAUUUGAAAGUAAUUUUAUUUAAAUUAAUAAUUUGAAUUAGCUCUAGAAUAUGUACAUAUCGCCCGUCGCUUUCACUCUAAAGUGGAAUAAGUCGUAACAUAGUAGGUGUACUGGAAAGUGUACCUGGAAAGAUA